rnacentral:tRNA from 1 species
GCGGUCGUGGCCGAGUGGUUAAGGCGUCUGACUCGAAAUCAGAUUCCCUCUGGGAGCGUAGGUUCGAGUCUUACCGGCCGCG